rnacentral:rRNA from 1 species
AUUGAACGCUGGCGGCAGGCCUAACACAUGCAAGUCGAACGAGUGGCGGACGGGUGAGUAAUGUCUGGGAAACUGCCUGAUGGAGGGGGAUAACUACUGGAAACGGUAGCUAAUACCGCAUACCAUCGGAUGUGCCCAGAUGGGAUUAGCUAGUAGGUGGGGUAACGGCUCACCUAGGCGACGAUCCCUAGCUGGUCUGAGAGGAUGACCAGCCAAAAUGGAACUGAGACACGGUCCAGAGUAAGACGGGAGGCAGCAGUGGGGAAGAUUGCACAAUGGGCGCAAGCUUGAUGCAGCCAUGCCGCGGGUAUGAAGAAGGCCUGCGGGUUGUAAAGGACUUUCAGCGGGGAGGAGUUACCCGCAGAAGAAGCACCGUCUAACGCCGUGCCAGAAGCCGCGGUAAUAC